CAGGCGCGCAAAUUACCCAAUCCCGACACGGGGAGGUAGUGACAAUAAAUACUGAUACAGGGCUCUUUUGGGUCUUGUAAUUGGAAUGAGUACAAUUUAAAUCCCUUAACGAGGAACAAUUGGAGGGCAAGUCUGGUGCCAGCAGCCGCGGUAAUUCCAGCUCCAAUAGCGUAUAUUAAAGUUGUUGUGGUUAAAAAGCUCGUAGUUGAACCUUGGGCCUGGCUGGCCGGUCCGCCUCACCGCGUGUACUGGUCCGGCCGGGCCUUUCCCUCUGUGGAACCCCAUGCCCUUCACUGGGUGUGGCGGGGAAACAGGACUUUUACUUUGAAAAAAUUAGAGUGCUCCAGGCAGGCCUAUGCUCGAAUACAUUAGCAUGGAAUAAUAGAAUAGGACGUGUGGUUCUAUUUUGUUGGUUUCUAGGACCGCCGUAAUGAUUAAUAGGGACAGUCGGGGGCAUCAGUAUUCAAUUGUCAGAGGUGAAAUUCUUGGAUUUAUUGAAGACUAACUACUGCGAAAGCAUUUGCCAAGGAUGUUUUCAUUAGUCAGGAACGAAAGUUAGGGGAUCGAAGACGAUCAGAUACCGUCGUAGUCUUAACCAUAAACUAUGCCGACUAGGGAUCGGACGAUGUUAUUUUUUGACUCGUUCGGCACCUUA
rnacentral:rRNA from 1 species